AUUGAACGCUGGCGGCAUGCCUUACACAUGCAAGUCGAACGGCAGCACGGGUGCUUGCACCUGGUGGCGAGUGGCGAACGGGUGAGUAAUACAUCGGAACAUGUCCUGUAGUGGGGGAUAGCACGGCGAAAGCCGGAUUAAUACCGCAUACGAUCCACGGAUGAAAGCGGGGGACCUUCGGGCCUCGCGCUAUAGGGUUGGCCGAUGGCUGAUUAGCUAGUUGGUGGGGUAAAGGCCUACCAAGGCGACGAUCAGUAGCUGGUCUGAGAGGACGACCAGCCACACUGGGACUGAGACACGGCCCAGACUCCUACGGGAGGCAGCGGUGGGGAAUUUUGGACAAUGGGCGAAGGCCUGAUCCAGCAAUGCCGCGUGUGUGAAGAAGGCCUUCGGGUUGUAAAGCACUUUUGUCCGGAAAGAAAUCCUUGGCUCUAAUACAGUCGGGGGAUGACGGUACCGGAAGAAUAAGCACCGGCUAACUACGUG
rnacentral:rRNA from 1 species